rnacentral:rRNA from 1 species
UCAUUAUCGAACAAUGGAGGCACAAGGGCUGUCGCUGACUUUUAGUCGUGCACGCCCUUAGUGUCUGCAUCCCCCAUCCCUUUCACCCCUUGUGCACCACCGCGUGGGUGCCCCUUUUGGCUUUGUCUAGAAGGGUCGCUUGCGUUUUUAACACACACACCCAGUGCAGUGUAGAAUGUCUUUUAUGCGAUAACACGCAAUUAAUACAACUUUCAACAACGGAUCUCUUGGCUCUCGCAUCGAUGAAGAACGCAGCGAAAUGCGAUACGUAAUGUGAAUUGCAGAAUUCAGUGAAUCAUCGAAUCUUUGAACGCACCUUGCGCCCCUUGGCAUUCCGAGGGGCACACCCGUUUGAGUGUCGUGACAUCUUCAACCUUCUUGGUUUCUUGACCAAGAAAGGCUUGGAAUUUGGAGGCUCUUUUGCUGGCUUUCUUUGUAAAGGCUGGCUCCUCCCAAAUGCAUUAGUGGGAUCAACUUUGCCGAUCCUAGACGUGAUAAGUUGCUUCUACGUCCUUUGGAUCGCAAUGCACCUGCUCCUAACCGUCUCAUCUGACGAGACAAACUCUGUACAAAAACCUCUUGACCUCAAAUCGGGUGAGACUACCCGCUGAACUUAAGCAUAUCAAUAAGCGGAGGAAAAGAAACUAACAAGGAUUCCCCUAGUAACUGCGAGUGAAGCGGGAAAAGCUCAAAUUUAAAAUCUGGUGGUCAUUGGCCAUCCGAGUUGUAAUUUAGAGAAGCGUCUUCCGCGCUGGACCGUGCACAAGUCUCCUGGAAUGGAGCGUCAUAGAGGGUGAGAAUCCCGUCUUUGGCACGGAUACCCCAGGGCUUCUGUGAUGCGCUCUCGAAGAGUCGAGUUGUUUGGGAAUGCAGCUCAAAAUGGGUGGUGAACUCCAUCUAAAGCUAAAUAUUGGCGAGAGACCGAUAGCGAACAAGUACCGUGAGGGAAAGAUGAAAAGCACUUUGGAAAGAGAGUGAAACAGUACGUGAAAUUGUUGAAAGGGAAACGCUUGAAGUCAGUCGCGUCGACCAAGACUCAGCCUUGCCUUGGCUUGGUGUAUUUCUUGGCUUGACGGGUCAGCAUCAAUUUCUUNUCUCGGAUAAUGGCAAGAGAAAGGUGGCACCUUUACGGGUGUGUUAUAGUCUCUUGUCGCAUGCGAGGGUCGGGAUUGAGGAACUCAGCACGCACCUUCUAGGUGUCGGGGCUUCGGCUCACGCUACG